UCCGCCAUGCGGCACGCAAUGGAGCAGCUGAUGUGAGGCAGAGUCUUGUGUUCCGUGUUCUGCGCUGUGACCCGCGGUCGGGAGCUGUGGGGAGAGCGGGGCGAGCUCGCAACCCGCCAUGGAUGCAGUGACCUAUGAGGAUGUACAUGUGAACUUCACUCAUGAAGAGUGGACUUUGCUGGAUCCUUCCCAGAAGAGUCUCUACAAAGAUGUGAUGCUGGAAACCUACUGGAACCUCACUGCUGUAGGUAUCUUCAAACACACAAACGAACCCAUAAUGAAGAAGAUCUCUGUAAAUAUAAUCAGCGUGAUAAAGACUUUAGAUCUGAUUCCUCUUUACAGUUACACCAGAGAACUCAUGUGGAAGUAGAGCC